CCUUCGGGUACGAAUUGAGACAGGUGGUGCAUGGUUGUCGUCAGCUCGUGUCGUGAGAUGUUGGGUUAAGUCCCGCAACGAGCGCAACCUUGUGUUUAGUUGCAAACAGGUCAAGCUGUGCACUCUAGACAGACUGCCGUGGACAACACGGAGGAAGGUGGGGAUGACGUCAAAUCAUCAUGCCCCUUAUGAUCUGGGCUACACACGUGCUACAAUGGCCGGUACAACGGGCAGCGAAGGAGCGAUCCGGAGCGAAUCCUAAAAAGCCGGUCCCAGUUCGGAUUGCAGGCUGAAACUCGCCUACAUGAAGUUGGAGUUGCUAGUAAUCGCGAAUCAGAAUGUCGCGGUGAAUGCGUUCCCGGGUCUU
rnacentral:rRNA from 1 species